rnacentral:lncRNA from 1 species
CCCAAUCUCCCUCUGGCCGCUUCUCGGUUAAAUCCUUGUAUAGCAAACUUAUUGAGGGAUCCAUCACCUCCAAAUUUAAGUGGAUAUGGAAAGCUCGCAUCCCCCCUAAGAUUAAAGUGUUUCUCUGGCAAGCCUCUCGCGGGCGUCUACCUACGGGUGACCAAAUCCGUAAACGUAAUGGUCCGGGUUCUGACUGUUGUGUUCUAUGUGGGACGAGAGAAGAUACACCUCAUAUUUUUUUUAACUGCGUCCUGGCUAAGCUGUUUUGGUGUUGUAUCAGAUCAUGGUUGCAUGUCUCCUGGGCUCCGACCUCCUUUGCGGACUUACGAGCCUUGGCUAAUUCUUUGGUUGGGGCCCAGAGGAGAUUGUUUUGGGUUGGCUUUGCUGCCAUGUGUUGGUCUUUAUGGACGACAAGGAAUAAAUUUACUAUCGAACAUGUCUUUCCUGCUAAGCCUGCUGAUUGAUUAUUUAAGACUUGUAUAUUCCUGCAGCAGUGGAGUUUAUUGACUAAGAAGGAGGACAGGGAUGCAUUUGACGCCAUGUUGGCCAAGAUCCGAAAGUCUCCUAUCUCCAUCCUUCCAAACCAAGCGGGCCCGUAGACGUCGUUGUGUUGCUACGUUUUCUUAUCCUCUUCCGGCCUGCGUGCCGUGUACUGGCCUAGGAGCCAUGUACUUAGACUUCCUUCUUCGUGUUCUGGCUUGAUACUUUGGCAUUUGUGUGCUGGUUGUCUGGGUCCUUGUUAACUCUGCCUGGUGGCUUUAUCUAUAAACUCGGGCUAUGGCCUUUUCUCUAAAAAGCAUCGCCGGCGGCCGCUUCCAGCAAAAGAAUGCUAGGGGUUGUUGCUUCACGCCUAGACAGUUGUAGCAUCCUCGCUGCCGCUCGCAGCUCCCCGCACUGCCGGUUCCAGCAUCUCCGGCGACCGGUUGUACCAUCCCCAUCUGCCGCUCGAAGCUCCUCGCACAGCCAGUUCCACAUGGCCGACGGACGGUUGUAGCAAAGAGCGACUCCGGUUGUAGCAAAAGGCGACGUGGUUGUAGCAAAAAUGCGACGCCGGUGAUCGUGGUUGUAUCUUCCCAGUCAUGGUUGUAGCCACCGCCAGCCACAAACGCCGAUUGUAGCAAAAUUCCUCGCCGGUGGAAGCAAAAUCCGACGAUGGAUGCAGCAAAACUUCGUCACCGCCAUCGCAAUUGCAGCUUCACCAUGAAAUCAUCAUAUCAAAAAUUCUUGCCGGUCGUAGCAAAAUCUGGCAAUGGAUGUAGCAAAAUUCCGUCACCGCCGUCGCUGUUGUAGCUCCGCCAUGAAAUUCUUGUAGCAAAAUUUUUUGUUAGUAGUAGCAAAAUUGGACGACGGUUGUAGCAAAAAUCAUAACGACACGUACCUCACUCUUCGCUGACCCCGCCAGUUGAAACAUCUCCGGCCGGCUGCUCCCCAGCCACGGGCCCUAUUCGUCUUCCUUGCAAUAAGGCGCUUCCCCCUUGUAGCGUGGGCAGGAAAGGGGGUAACCAGCUACAGAGCUCCCACGCCUGGCCCCAGGCUCGCGGUGUCUCCCAGCCGGAGCAGCAGCAGAUGGCCGCGCCGUCAGCAGAGACAUGGACGAGCUCGUUGUGCGAUGUUGAGAAAUUUAAUGGGGAGAAGAGAAAAGAGAUGGACAGAGAAGGAUGAGUGGAGGACGGAUGCACCGUGUAAAGAGAUAAGGGAUGGGUGUUUCCUUCAGGCCCCACCUACGCAC